rnacentral:rRNA from 1 species
GACGAACGCUGGCGGCGCGCUUAACACAUGCAAGUCGAGCGAGAACCAGGGCUUCGGCCCUGGGGACAGCGGCGAACGGGUGAGUAACACGUGGGUAAUCUGCCCUCGGCACCGGAAUAGCCCGGGGAAACCCGGAUUAAUGCCGGAUGGCCCCUUCACCUCGCGAGGUGUCGGGAAAAGGUAGCUUCGGCCUCUGGCCGAGGAUGAGCCCGCGGCGGAUUAGCUUGUUGGCGGGGUAACGGCCCACCAAGGCGACGAUCCGUAGCUGGUCUGAGAGGACGAUCAGCCACACUGGGACUGAGACACGGCCCAGACUCCUACGGGAGGCAGCAGUGGGGAAUCUUGCGCAAUGGGCGAAAGCCUGACGCAGCGACGCCGCGUGAGGGAAGAAGGCCUUCGGGUUGUAAACCUCUUUCAGGAGGGACGAAGCUACUCGGGUGAAUAGCCCAGAGGGUGACGGUACCUCCAGAAGAAGCCCCGGCUAACUACGUGCCAGCAGCCGCCGCGGUAA